rnacentral:lncRNA from 1 species
UGGUGGAGAGGCGCCUGCAUGGGGUGAGGCCCGGGUCCUGCCACCCAGAGGAAACCUGAGCCGCAGCAGCUCCGGCUCCCCCUCUGCUGCCCCUCCCCACUGCUUUCCAAGUGCAGGUGGUGAGGCCAGUGGCCUGGUGGGUGACGGCCCUCCAGGUACUAGGAGGAAACUGUCCCCAGGGUGUUUGCUGGCUUGCAGUUAACAUGAGGCCUCUUCAGAGGAGAAACUUCUCCACUUCACAUCAGCCGUCUCUGGGUGAGUUUCUGCUCAGCUCUAGGCGUCUCCGCUGUAAGUCUGAACCUCCCUUCAUGGCUCGUCCGUUGUGCCGGAUCUAGCAACCUUACUGUGCACACAUGUCACUGGGGAUCCUGAGGAAAUGAGGGAUUCUGAUCCAACAGAAAAAGAGAGAAUUCAUUUUGCUGCGCUCAGAACUUACUAGAAUUGCUUACAGCCAAGUUAGAACUCCAGAUUCCAGCCUGAGUCAGGGACAUGGGGCUCUGGAAAAGGACACCUCGGUGGUUUGCAAGGAGAGAGAAAGCAGGGCAAUUCAGAGCUGGGCACUCUCCGUGAUGGGUGGACAAGAGAAGUGAAACUGAAACAGAUCUAAGGCAGGGUUAUUUUUAUUUCCUCAACAUGUGCCAACAAAAACAACAACAAUAAAAAAAAAAUUAAACAGGGAAAAAGGAUUGCAUUCUUUCCAUGCAAAAAGGCUCUUUUGCCAAGUGAAAAUUCAGCUCUCAGAUGAUCUUCUAAGACUUUUAGGAAGACAACGUUGCCUUCAACCUCAAACCCUGGGUGUUACUGAUUUUCCAUAAUACUUGUGAUGCAUUUAUUUCAGAAGAAGAAGGAGAAAAGAAAGAAGAGGAAGAAGAGGAGGAAGGAGGAAGAGGAAGAGGAAGAGGAGGAGGAGAAGGGGAAAGAGAAAGGGGGGAAGGGAUUAUGAUUAUUAUUAGAACUGUAAUGAUUGUUAGAGGGAAAGAUCUAACUAUGACCUUCUGCAGGGCAGGGCAAGAGUGUGGAGAAAGCAUGAAUUUUGAAAUACUUCCCUCCCAGGAUGGGAUUUGGCUCUGGCAUUAGACUUAGGGAAAGCAGCUGCCAUAGCUGGGCCUAUGUGGCCCAGUCUGUGAAAUGGGGUGAUGAUGCUGUCACUGCAGUGCAGCUGGGCGCACUCUGCAUGUGUUUGUGGAGGGGCUCCUACCCAGGGGGCCUUGACAGGCGUCUUACAAAUCCAGAGCCUAGGUCCCAUGGGACCAGGCCAUUACCCCAGAUAGAAUUGCAUCCCAGUAGACUGCUCUGAGCACAAAUGUAUUCUAAAACCUCUGGAUGGGAGCUAAUCACUGCGGAAGUCACAGAGCCUCAGUUCCAGAUAUCAGAAGAGCCCCCAAAAAUGAGACCCUGGGGAAUGGCAGAGAAUGUUCUCUUUCUUUUCAAAUGACAAAUUUAUACAUGUGAAAAGUUUGAAACGACAUGCCAAAUAAAUCAUGAGUAGUCAUCAUAUAGCUGGUCACCUUUAUUAGGAAACAAUAAAAUGCAUGAAGUCGGUAGGGUGCAGGGAGGUGCAGGUCACAAGAGUCCCUGUACGAUUCUUUCCUCCUGUCCUAAGUUGGCACAGCAGCUCUCUUGCUCAUGAUUUAGACAAUGCACAACUGGCUGCUUCAGUCAAAAAGAGAGAGACGAUUUGCUGGUAAGAUCCUCUGCUUUUUCUAGGAAAAUUCCACUCCAAGAUUCUGUAUGGACUCUCAUCCAAACACAUGGCAGGUGAUCAUCUAAACCACCCAGGGAAGGUGCCGGGGUAAACAUCUAAUUAAUUAAAGAAAACCUCCCUCCCCACCCCAACCUGGAAAAGGCCCUGUCAUGGAGAAGUGCUCACUCUUGCCAAUGCACGCUCACACACGUACUUUCCAAACCGCUUCCAGGUGACUGGUCCGCAAGCGGCCUGCCUCUGUUAAUUAAAGUCUACAAACCUUCAAGCCCAUCGCCCUUCCUUGGUUGUCUGCGUGACCACAACCCCUACGCUCUUCCAAGCAACAUUUGCUCCAACUUAAUAUUCUGGUGCUUUCAG